AGAGACUUAGUCCUAACCUUACCGUUAACUCUCGCUAGAUAUAUACAUGCAAGUAUCCGCGCCCCAGUGUAAAUGCCCUUAGCCUCUUUGCCUAAGACCAAAAGGAGCAGGUAUCAGGCACACUCCCAAUUGUAGCCCAAAACACCUUGCUUAGCCACACCCCCACGGGCACUCAGCAGUAAUUAACAUUAAGCAAUAAGUGAAAACUUGACUUAGUCAUAGCGAUAUUCAGGGUUGGUAAAUCUUGUGCCAGCCACCGCGGUCAUACAAGAAACCCAAGUUAACCAAACCUACGGCGUAAAGAGUGGCACUAUGCUAUCACACCAACUAAGACCAAAAUGCAACCAAGCCGUCAUAAGCUUAAGAUGCACCCAAGACCCUCCUCAACACGAUCUUAGCCCCUCAGAUCAAUUAACCCCCACGAAAGCCAAGGCACAAACUGGGAUUAGAUACCCCACUAUGCUUGGCCCUAAAUCUUGAUACUUACCGUACUAAAGUAUCCGCCCGAGAACUACGAGCACAAACGCUUAAAACUCUAAGGACUUGGCGGUGCCCCAAACCCACCUAGAGGAGCCUGUUCUUUAAUCGAUAACCCACGAUACACCCAACCCCUCCUUGCCAAAACAGCCUAUAUACCGCCGUCGCCAGCCCACCUCCAUGAGAGCCUAAUAGUGAGCACAAUAGCCUCCCCCGCUAGCAAGACAGGUCAAGGUAUAGCCUAUGGAGCGGAAGAAAUGGGCUACAUUUUCUAAAAUAGAAAACCACGAAAAGGGAUGUGAAAAUCCUCCCUAGAAGGCGGAUUUAGCAGUAAAGCAGAACAAUAUAAGCCUGCUUUAAGCUGGCCCUGAGGCACGUACAUACCGCCCGUCACCCUCCUCACAAGCCACAGAUUGCUAAUACCUAAAACACUCACAUGGCCAAAGAUGAGGUAAGUCGUAACAAGGUAAGUGUACCGGAAGGUGCACUUAGCAUAC
rnacentral:ncRNA from 1 species